rnacentral:rRNA from 1 species
UACGUAGGGUGCAGGCGUUAAUCGGAAUUACUGGGCGUAAAGCGUGCGCAGGCGGUCUUUUAAGUCAGAUGUGAAAUCCCCGGGCUUAACCUGGGAACUGCGUUUGAAACUGAAAGGCUAGAGUGUGGCAGAGGGGGGUGGAAUUCCACGUGUAGCAGUGAAAUGCGUAGAGAUGUGGAGGAACACCGAUGGCGAAGGCAGCCCCCUGGGUUAACACUGACGCUCAGGCACGAAAGCGUGGGGAGCAAACAGG